UACGUGGGCGGACGACGUUGAGUUACAUUUAGGAAUCUGCCUAGUAGUGGGGGAUAGCUCGGGGAAACUCGAAUUAAUACCGCAUACGACCUACGGGUGAAAGGGGGCGCAAGCUCUUGCUAUUAGAUGAGCCUAAAUCAGAUUAGCUAGUUGGUGGGGUAAAGGCCCACCAAGGCGACGAUCUGUAACUGGUCUGAGAGGAUGAUCAGUCACACCGGAACUGAGACACGGUCCGGACUCCUACGGGAGGCAGCAGUGGGGAAUAUUGGACAAUGGGGGCAACCCUGAUCCAGCCAUGCCGCGUGUGUGAAGAAGGCCUUUUGGUUGUAAAGCACUUUAAGCAGGGAGGAGAGGCUAAUGGUUAAUACCCAUUAGAUUAGACGUUACCUGCAGAAUAAGCACCGGCUAACUCUGUGCCAGCAGCCGCGGUAAUACAGAGGGUGCGAGCGUUAAUCGGAAUUACUGGGCGUAAAGCGAGUGUAGGUGGCUCAUUAAGUCACAUGUGAAAUCCCCGGGCUUAACCUGGGAACUGCAUGUGAUACUGGUGGUGCUAGAAUAUGUGAGAGGGAAGUAGAAUUCCAGGUGUAGCGGUGAAAUGCGUAGAGAUCUGGAGGAAUACCGAUGGCGAAGGCAGCUUCCUGGCAUAAUAUUGACACUGAGAUUCGAAAGCGUGGGUAGCA
rnacentral:rRNA from 1 species